CCCGGGACCUUCACUUUGAACAAAGGAGAAAAGCCCCCGCGGUUUGCGGGAGUUUGUUUACCAAUGAACCAACGCGUGUCUACAGCAGGGUAGGGGGAAACAAAAAAGGGAAGCGAACGCGUAAAUACAAGCAAAGUCAAAUCCAAAUAAAAAGACCCAGAAUCCUUUAUAGAAUCUGGAGUAAAUGUCGUAUCGAUGCGUCCUGUUGGAAACAGAAGAUCUACCGUGGAAACCUCAUAUUUUAAGAAUGUGUAAAUUUUGUGUAUAUAAAAUAAAGAUUUACAUUGUUAACAGU